UACGUAGGGGGCAAGCGUUGUCCGGAAUCAUUGGGCGUAAAGCGCGUGUAGGCGGCUCGAUAAGUCUGCUGUGAAAGUUCAGGGCUCAACCCUGAAAUGCCGGUGGAAACUGUCGAGCUAGAGUCCGGAAGAGGCGAGUGGAAUUCCUGGUGUAGCGGUGAAAUGCGUAGAGAUCAGGAGGAACACCGGUGGCGAAGGCGGCCCACUGGGCAGUCACUGACGCUGAGGCGCGAAAGCUCGGGGAGCGAACGGG
rnacentral:rRNA from 1 species